CUGUAUAUUUAAAAUGUAUACAUUAGAAAUUCAACAUGAAAACCAGCAACAAAAAAAAAAAGUAGUGAAGUAGAUUUUCUGUCUUUUGUCAUGUCAACGAGUUAAAAUCGCGUUUAGGCAGAGGUGGGAUCGGACUCUUUUGCUGCUGCUGCUGCUGCUGCUGCUGCAUUUGCUUCUUGUUGGAGCUUGUUUUUCCAGUAUUCGUCAAGAGGGGGACCGAAUAUGGCUUUUCCAGACACAACUCCUAUCCUGGAAAAAGACAUACGAGGCAAUUAUGAAAUCAGAUAUUUUACCGAAAGUGAAACUGAUUACAUCAUUUCAGCAAACAACUAUAAACAGUUCGAUAUUGUUUAAUUACAAUGCUCCAGAAAUUGCACUCGACUUUCCGGGAUUACAUGAGCCUUCACGCUUCACACACAGCUUCUAUAAGUACUCUGCACCUAUUUCCACAACUAACACAAUUUUACGAUGAAUUUUUGCACGUCAGAGAAACAAAAGAAACAAACAGAGGCUUUGAUUUCACUCCCCCCACUCUCGUUUCCCACGUUUUUUAUGUAGUCGAAAGAAAUGUCAGAAUUUUAUCAUCCAUUACGAACAAGAAUGGAUAGAGUUGAAUAUCGGGAAUUGAGACGAUGAGUUAUAAAACCUUAACCAACCCUUAAUCAUGAGGUCAGGUCCAGUUACGGGUCAAUGGUUCAAUCCUUAAUCCGAUGAUAAAAAGUCGAAACAUGAAAAGUCGAGAUGUUUCUACACAAAUAUAAACCGAUGAUCUCUUAACAGAAUUGUUGCAAGAUCAACCAGAUAAGAAACAAACAAAUGGGGUUAAUCUAUGUGAACUCAUAGGACUUUCCGAUUGGGGGUAAAUAGAUCAUGAACAAAACCCUAGAUUGCAUUUCCUUGUUCCCUAUUUACUUAUGAACCCUAAAUUCCUUAUGAAUCAUGUAAAUAACAGGGUAAAUAAAUCUAGAAAUUUCAAUUAUUCAAAACCCAGUAAGCAGUGGAUAAUUCCGAAAACUAUGAAUCAAAUGAGCUCAAUUAAACAAUCGCAUACCUCCAUAAAUAAUCAAUUCUCCAAGCAGAUUAAGAUGUGGGCGCCGAUGAUAAAAAAACAAAAGGAAAAUUAUAGAAAAAAAAUAAAAAAAUCUUACACGACAGCUCCAAUGACCAGAGGCAGUGACAGAAAUCUUCUCCGACCGAACAUUUGUGAGGAUUUUAAUCAAUUCACAUGAAAAUAGAAAUCCCUAAUACCAAAUCACAGAUGAACUUGGAUGAAGCUUGGAGCCAACUCGAUCUCUCAGAUUUUCAGUAUUUUUCUUUGUUUUCCCUUAUGGGCGGGCUAUUAAGUUUCGGGCUUUGGGCCUCAUUGUAAGCUC
rnacentral:lncRNA from 1 species